AAAUGCGAAACCCUGCUUCACUCAAUCCUGUGAAGUCUAUUAAAAGGUUUCUUUCUUCUUCUAAUUUUCAAGUAAUUUGAUUGUGUUUAAUAGAAUUGUAUUGCUAGGGUUUAUUAUUUUUUAAUUGAAUUGUGAUCGCCAAUAUAUAUAUAUAUAUAUAUAUAUAUCUGAGGAAUAUAAAUUUUGCGAGAUUAUAUAUUUUAAAUGGAAUCAGAAUUGAUUUUUUUAUUAGGCUUUAUUGAUUUUUGUAUCUUGUACGAAUCGGAUUUUGAUGGUGUUCUCUUUCGGAUUCAUUGAACGAAUUUUGGUGUUUUUUUUUCUUUUUUUAAAAGUUGUUUUUGCAGUUAACAUUUUUUACAGGAGGGUUCUUUUUGUAAGUUCUCGAGAUGGUUAUAGGUUUUAAUGAAGGAGAUUUUUAAUCUGUUUCAGCUUCAUUGUAUCAUUCCUAUUUUCGUCUGCCAGCCCUGAAAACAAUAGCAAAAAGGUACAAGAGUUUUUCUGGACAAUGGAAGCAGCUAUCAUUGAACAUCCGUUAUGAGC
rnacentral:lncRNA from 1 species